GCCACGCACAGUCUGUAGUCUACAGUGCCUGUAGUCCCAGUUACUCGGGAGGCUGAGAAAAGAGGAUCACUUGAGUUCAGGAGUUCUGAGCUGUAGUGCACUAAGCUGAUAAAGUGUCCACACUAAGUUUGGCAUCAAUAUGGUGACCUCUUGGGAGUGGGGGUGGAGUUGGGGGGAGUGAACAGGGCAGGUCAAAAACUCCUGUGCUGAUCAGCAGCAGGAUUGCACCUAUGAAUAGCUACUGCACUCCAGCCUGGGCAACAUAGUAAGACCCUGUCUCUA
rnacentral:SRP_RNA from 1 species